GUACCAGGCUAUUCUGAGUUCAUAAAUAUGCGGAACUUCAUACAAGCAGCCCUUGAAAGUCAAUUUCUGCAGAUUUUACUGGUUGUUCUUAGUGACAUUGACAUCUCACUGUGAAAACUUUCACACUGUUGGACUACACACGUGGGCUGCCCUGGAAGUGAUUCUUAAACCGGAGAAGAUCUCUGUAGAUGUGAGGAGGCACAAAAGGGACAGUUUAUUCUUUCGAAGUUGCUGGAACUGCUUGCAGUAAGAAAUAAAAGCUGUGCGUCAAUCAAGAAAACUAUUUCAAUUGUUCAGAACAUGCUGCUAAACUAACCUUUGCAGCUACAUUUUUAG